CAGGACUCGCAAGACUCCUACAACCCUGUGAACUUAACUAUAAGCACGUUGCUUCGGCGGGUGUUCCGGCGAGGGUUCUCCCUCUCCGGGGCGCUAAGCCCGCCGGCAGCCUACUAUACUCUGUCUCUUUGCGUUGGCAUCUCGAGUACAAACAAACAAGUUA
rnacentral:misc_RNA from 1 species